rnacentral:siRNA from 1 species
UCCAUUUAUGGUUUAAAGUGCA